rnacentral:tRNA from 1 species
CCCCCGACGACGGCCCAGGUGGCCACGCCGGUCAGCGCGGCGGAGGCGACGGGGGAGCGGCGCACGGCCCGUUCGGCGACGAGUCCGGCGGCC